AAAAAGAUAAAUUCUGAGUUUCCGUGUCAAACUUUGACUGUCCGUCUUAUAUGAAAUUUUUUUAUAAUUCGUAUUUCCAUUGUUGUUAGAUGAUAAAACAUGAUUAAUAUUUUAUACGUGACUUGUCUUUUUAAUUUUUUUCAUAAUUUUUUUAAAUAAGACGGACGGUCAAACAUUGGGCACGGAAACCAGAGUUUGUCUUUUUU
rfam:Oryza nivara chromosome 5, whole genome shotgun sequence.